AGGAGCCGUGUGAGAUGAAAAUCUCACGUACAGUUCUGGAACGGGGAUUCUUUGAAUAGAAUGAAUGACCAAAAAGGGUUUUCCAUGACAUGUGAAAUGAAAACUAUUACCUCAC
rfam:Macleaya cordata isolate BLH2017 scaffold1825, whole genome shotgun sequence.